rnacentral:tRNA from 1 species
GGGCAUUUGGUCUAGUGGUAUGAUUCUCGCUUUGGGUGCAAGAGGUCCCGAGUUUCAUUCUCGGAAUGCCCC